CCGGCGACCGGCGCACGGGUGAGUAACACGUAUGCAACCUGGCCGUCACAGGUGGAUAACCGGAAGAAAUUCCGACUAAUACAGCAUAACACUCCCGAGGGACAUCCUUCGGGAGUCAAAGGAGGCAACUCCGGUGACGGAUGGGCAUGCGGCGCAUUAGGUAGUUGGUAGGGUAACGGCCUACCAAGCCGACGAUGCGUAGGGGUUCUGAGAGGAAGGUCCCCCACAUUGGAACUGAGACACGGUCCAAACUCCUACGGGAGGCAGCAG
rnacentral:rRNA from 1 species